CUUCAUCGAUCGGCGUCUUCCUCCUGCUGCAGCACCUUCUUCGUCGUCGUGCCAGAGCGCCGACAUGCAGAUGCUUCACCAGAGAUGUAGUCUGGUAGAAAUCUCCCGCAGGCUGCUGAAGGCUGGCGUACUCCCUUUCCUUUUUACCCUGUUAAAGACAACAAAAGCUCCAGCUCAGUAACGUCCACAAGUUAUUUUUCAAAAUCUAACAAGAGGGUCAACGUUUGAAAACAUAAAGCAGCGAGCUGCAUCCUAACGAUGGGCAGAGAGACGCUCGACGCACUGCAAGUGUGAUCAGGAAGCCGCAGUCAAACUGAAACCCGUUUUUUUUUUUAGGUCACUCUACGCCCUCAUCCUGUCUGCCACUACUGACCUCCUGAAACUUUGUUAGGCCUCAAACAUCGACAACAGGUGACUAACAACCACUUAGGGCAGAUUUCCAGCUUUUCCAAUCAGCACAAGUUGAUUUAAGUUCAGCUUCAACACACAUUGAGCUGUUCAAAAAGAUUUGUGGUUUUUAGUCUCAUGUCUUGCACCUCAUCCACGGUGUGAAAAUGUCACAAAUGUAAAUAGUUUGAGACAUUUUAGGUUGAUUGUUUCAGCAUGCAGCACUUUGCAAAAGUAUCAACAUCUCUUUUUAAUUUUUCACACUUAAAACCAAACAAAUGCAUUUUAAUGCAACAGAACAUCGGAAAUGUUCCAUAAUUGUUACUUGCAAUGUUAAACACUGGUAAAGCUGUGCUGUGUUCUUCUUCCCCAAUACAAUAAGGCACCACUUUGUGUUGGUCUAUCACAUACAUAGCCAAUAAAAUACAUGAAACGUU